UGAGUUAGACCUAGUAGGAAUGUCGGUGAGAUUGGGGCCGAACCCACUGGGAACAUCGUUGUAGUUCUCACCCCACUAUUUUCACAGAGUCGGGGCCGAGCGAGCCGGCAAGCGAUCGCGGUAAAGGUAUCGCACCUAGACGGUGGCCACCCAAGUCGAGUUGACUUACAUUUCGUUAGUAGUAUACCUAUGAUCAUCUUUUGUACUUGAUGACUACUGAUGUAAGGUACCGGACUUCUAAAAUUAUGAAGUUAUGGUGUACGUUGCUUUGGAAAGCCAUUUGGAUGGUUUCGUGAGGUUCGGUGAAGUUCUGGAGCAAUCGGGCGUUUCGGUGCGCAUAGGCGCGAAAACGGAACCCGAAAGGCUAAGUUGGGCCGUGAGCUAAAUCCGGCAUUAGCGAGGAUGGAAAGAUGAUGAAAACAUGUUUGAAAACAUGUUUGGAGAGUCUCGGUUCGAUUUGAGACGAAUCGGAGGUCAAACGAACGAAAACGAGCGAAAACGGAGCGAAAACGGACGAAGCUGAAAAUUGGCUAAGUCUGGGCUGGAGGUCUCUCUGGAACCGGUCCCAGGCAGAGAGACCGGUCUCUCAGAGACCGGUCCCUCAUGCAGAGACCGGUCCCCGAACCCCGAAAAUACCCAGUUCGGGCUGUUGCAAGAGAGGCUUUGUUGAGGGGUUUUUCUGCAAAUGUUACAUGGGUUAAGUGUAUAGAGAGGAGUAGAACCUCUCUCUCUCUCUUUCCCUCACCGUUUCAACCCCAA
rnacentral:lncRNA from 1 species